UACGGAGGGAGCUAGCGUUGUUCGGAAUUACUGGGCGUAAAGCGCACGUAGGCGGCUUUGUAAGUUAGAGGUGAAAGCCCGGGGCUCAACUCCGGAACUGCCUUUAAGACUGCAUCGCUUGAAUCCGGGAGAGGUGAGUGGAAUUCCGAGUGUAGAGGUGAAAUUCGUAGAUAUUCGGAAGAACACCAGUGGCGAAGGCGGCUCACUGGACCGGCAUUGACGCUGAGGUGCGAAAGCGUGGGGAGCAAACAGG
rnacentral:rRNA from 1 species